CUGGAAGCAGAGGCCAGCUCAGUGCACAGUCUGGAGAGGCAGGUGCAGGAGCUGGAGCAGCUGCUGGUGGAGAAGCAGGAGGAGAAGGAGAGCCUGGGCCAGGAGGUGGAGAGCCUGCAGAGCCUCCUGUCCCUGCUGGAGAAUGAGAGAGAGAACACCAGCUAUGACUUAGCCACCCUGCAGGAUGAGGAGGGUGAGAUGCCUGACAU